rnacentral:rRNA from 1 species
CCGUGACCCUUAAACAAAACAGACCGCGAACGAGUCACCCGUGCCGCUGGGCUCCGGCCCGGCACGCUGCCCCCCCGAACCUCCCGCGGGGAAGGGGGGGCUGCGAAAAAGAACCCACGGCGCCCCGGGCGCCAAGGAACACCAGUACUACCUCCUGCCCCGCGGAGCGGUCGGCCCGCCUUCCGCCCCCAGGGCAGCGGUUACACCUUAAUCGACACGACUCUCGGCAACGGAUAUCUCGGCUCUCGCAUCGAUGAAGAACGUAGCAAAAUGCGAUACCUGGUGUGAAUUGCAGAAUCCCGCGAACCAUCGAGUUUUUGAACGCAAGUUGCGCCCGAAGCCUUCUGGCGGAGGGCACGUCUGCCUGGGCGUCACGCCAAAAGACACUCCCAACACCCCCCCGCGGGGCGAGGGACGUGGCGUCUGGCCCCCCGCGCCGCACGGCGAGGUGGGCCGAAGCAGGGGCUGCCGGCGAACCGCGCCGGGCGCAGCACGUGGUGGGCGACAUCAAGUUGUUGUUCCCGGUGCAGCGUCCCGGCGCGCGGCCGGCCAUUCGGCCCUAAGGACCCAUCGAGCGGCCGAGCUUGCCCUCGGACC